UGAAGCGGCAACAGCUCAAAUUUGAAAUCUGGCUUCGGCCCGAGUUGUAAUUUGUAGAGGAAACUUUUGGAGAGGCACCUUCUGAGUCCCUUGGAACAGGGCGCCAUAGAGGGUGAGAGCCCCGUAUAGUCGGAUGCCGAUCCAGUGUAAAGUUCCUUCGACGAGUCGAGUAGUUUGGGAAUGCUGCUCAAAAUGGGAGGUAAAUUUCUUCUAAAGCUAAAUAUAGGCCAGAGACCGAUAGCGCACAAGUAGAGUGAUCGAAAGAUGAAAAGCACUUUGAAAAGAGGGUUAAAUAGCACGUGAAAUUGUUGAAAGGGAAGCGUUUGUGACCAGACUUGCGCCGUUCCGAUCAUCCGGUGUUCUCACCGGUGCACUCGGGGCGGCUCAGGCCAGCAUCGGUUCUGGCGGGGGGAUAAAGGUUCAGGGAACGUGGCUCCUCCGGGAGUGUUAUAGCCCUGGGCGUAAUGCCCUCGCCGGGACCGAGGUUCGCGCAUC
rnacentral:rRNA from 1 species